rnacentral:tRNA from 1 species
GUUUUAAUAAUUUAAUCUAAAAUAUUGAUUUUGUAAAUCAAAAAUAAGGCUUCUUUUAAAAUA